rnacentral:lncRNA from 1 species
ACUCCGUCAUAUAUCAAUUUGUGCUUUGUUUGUCAUUCAUCAAAACCUACAAAAGAAUACACGUUUAGUAUAUCGCAUUGAGAACGUGUUUCCAACAAUGUUAACUGAGAGCCCUAUUUCUGAUUCCAAACUCUGCUUGCUUACUAAUAUUAAUUCUGUCACUUGGAUUAUAGAUUCAGGGGCCUCUAAUCACAUGACACAUGAUAAACAUUUACUUUUUAACAUCACACCUUUAACUCUACCAUAUCUUGUCACUCUUCCUAAUGGCUAUAAAGUGAAAGUGACAUGCACAGGCUCUUUUGCAUUGACUCCUACCAUUACUCUUCACAACUCUACCAUAUCUUGUCACUCUUCCUAAUGGCUAUAAAGUGCAAGUGACAUGCAUAGGUUCUUUUGCAUUGACGCCUUCCAUCACCCUUCACAAUGUACUGCUAGUUCCUUCUUUUAAACACAACUUGAUUUAUGUCCACAAGUUAGUGAAGCAGUUGCAUUGUAUAGUUCUGUUCACUGAACACUCAUGCUUACUACACAUGAUACAGGACCCUUCUCUGAGGAGGCCUCUGGAUCUUGGUAUGGAAGCUGCUGGCUUAUAUAAACUGGCUUGGGUUCCUCCUUCCCUUUCUUCCUCUGUUAGUUGUUCCUCUACUUCUGUUUGUUCUGUGUCUGCUUCUUGUAAUGAUGAN